UUAACUUCAAAGAUAACAUUACCAUUGGAUAACUGAACAUUCACUCUUAAGUACAUCUCGAAUCAGUUUGAAACAUAAAUUUGUCCAAUAAAAAAAACAAAAUACUUGUUCUAAAUAUCCAUUCUUAAUAUCACAGCAACUCAAACAAAAGAUUCAACCGUCUCAAAAUUCAAAAGAGACCAUGACUACACUAUAUACAUAGAAUAACGGAUCUUCCCAAUAUAACUUUCUAGUUCAAUCCAAUCACUCUUUAAUCUCCGACUCCUGUAAAGAAAACAAAGCUAAAAGGGUGAGCUUACGCCCGUGAGAUUUCCAUGCAAGCAACAAUCAAUAAACACUUAAAUCAGUACAAUUAAGCAAGUAGUGCAUAUUUCACUGUACAAUCACUUUCAUUAGCAAUUGAGGAACCACUUCACUGAACAAUCACUUUUAAAAGGAUACGGUGCUUGCAUUAGAGUCACUUCAAUGCACUACACACUCCGCCAAACUCCUCCUUAUGACCUCCAAAAUAAUAAACACUUCCCUCACUUGGAUGGCCAUAUCAAUAUCAGUAAUCUGCUACUUCGUGGUAAUACUCGAGUAUACCGAACACUUACCCAAAGCUACCGUCCUACCCGACCAAGUCCUUUGCUGGCUCAAAUAGUCCGUUGAACAUAGAGUUUUGGGGCCCAGUUCAACCAACGUGAUAAAGUACACACACGGCUUACAGCCAUGCACACUUACAAUAUCACUUGAUCAAUUAUCAACCUUCAAACUCAACUAAGCCGAGUGCGAUAAAGUACACUCCGGACUUAGAAGGUGAGGGACAAUUGAGAUACACUUUGCAAUGGAUCACUUAGCAAUAUUUCAUAAUAAGUACAUUUGUCACAUAAUUUCACUUAAGUACACAUAAGUAGUUUAAUAUAUAAAUUCGGAAAACACUCACCAAGAUUCAAUGAACUAUUCGCGAGUCUCGAGUUUGUUUCCUGGCUCACCGCUAUUUCCUGGGGCAAUUUAAUAAGUUCAAGGUAAAUAUAUAAUUCGUAAGUGAUCACUUAUCAUUCUUAUUUUAUUAUUUAAACUAUUAAAAUCAGGUUUGACCUUGAAAUACAAAUUUAUUCUUUAUUUACUAUUUAUCCUUCAUUUUAUUUUGAAACUUAUUAAUUUUAUCAUUUAAACCAAGAAUUAUACACAUGUUCUAAGGUUAUAAUCUUAUAGGUAUUUGAAUUAGCUGUAAUCUAUUUUCCACUCAGAAUCCUAAGAUGCAAGCUUAGAAACACUCCAUUGGUUCUCCUUUUAUCUAGCCAAAGUCUAAGUUGUGUGCACUUUAAAUUUUAUUUCACUACACGAGCUUCUCAAGUUUUAUAGUCUUUAAAAUACUGGUGAAAACAAGCUUAAGUGGUUAUAAGCCAUUUUAGGUAUAUAGCUGUAACGAGUUACUUUGGAGUCUCUAAAACACCAUAGGACUUAUUCUAUUGUUAUCUCGGCCAUCAAUAAAAAUUCCAGCAAUAUUACUUCCAAUUUUCAGCAGAACUCCAAUUUUACUUGCUUAAAACACUAUAUACGUAAUGUACAUUUGGUUCAGCAUAAACCAGUGAAAAUAAUACCUAAGUUCAACAAUUUAUUCGAUCAAAGUCACACACUAAAUCUGUUAUUAGCAGUUGUGUUAUCAUUAACUUUUCCAGUGACACAGCGGCUUGGUUUGCAGUUUCUUUCCUCCCCAAUCUCUUCGGUUUCACUCCAGCUCGUCAUGCAAAAGAUAGUUUUCAAGCUACCGAGUAGCCUUAACCCACACACAUAAAAGUUUACAGUUAAGGUUUCGAAGGAAAGGCUGAUCAGAAAUUUAAUUCUCUCUUUCGGUCAUGAUGGAUAAUUUUUUUGGCAGCCCACAGCUUUUAAUCAAGAAUUUCUUCAUGACAUCCUCAAGCAAUGUAGCAGUCCAAAUGUUCGUAGUUAAUUCAGCAAGAAAGGAGCAGAAUUUUGUUAAGAAAUUUCAGUCACAAGCAAGUCCUGCGGUUCGGCCAUUCCGAACGCAGAACGGUCCCUCUCAUUUUCUUCAUUUCCUUACUCCCACUAAUCAUGCAAAUGGUAACUUCGGCCACAGUAUCCUACGGCAACGUAAAGUUUAGAGCUAAUGGACUGAAACAAUAGCUGAACCAGGCCUUCUCUCGGCCAAUAUUGAAAGGGAUUCCUGCAGCAGCUAGUUAUGCAACAGGAAGCUUUUCAUAGUUUCUCUAUCCAGAUAUAAAUCUUCCAAGCAAGCUGCAGCUAAAAUACUAUGCAACAAAUCAGGUCUCAAGGUGGAAUUUUUGGAGCCAAAGUUCGUAAGGAAACCUGGUAAGUUUCUUUCCCUUCUCUCGGUUGAAGUGGACAGAAUUCCAGCAGCUAUUUCUAUCAUUUCCAGCUUACUCCUCUCGGUUGCUAGUUUCUUUUCCUCUCUCUUUCUAGUCAGUUACUUAGCAACGUUAUGCUCAGCUAAGACUCAUUCCCUCACUAAAAUACAACAUUUUCCAGCAAGUUUCCUUCUUUAUUUUCAACUCAAGGCUCAACAGAUUCAGUCCAGUUUCAAUUUCGCUCCUUUGUCAGAUUUCUCCUCAGUUAAAACUUAUUAUUCUUUGCUAAAAACUAACAUGCAGCCCAUAUAUUCAGUUAUAUUCCAGAAAUGAAAGAGUGGUUACAAGAUUCUUACCUUUUUCCGUUAAGUUUUAAUAGUUGCAGAUUGCUCCUGCUCCUAGCUUCGGUCUUUCUAACUUUUGCACCAGCUCUACCCUUUUUCCCUCACUGAUGCAGUUGAUACGUGAAUUGCAGACUGGUUUCACCUCUUUGUACUCACUCUUGGUUCACGGUUCUAAGGUCACAAGCUGGAUGAAUGCAGCUAACACUGUCUAACUCUCUCCUCCUCACUCUCGGUUGCACUGGAAGCAAGAGGAAAUCAGAAAUGCUUCCUUUUCUCCCUUUUGAUUGUGUACUGAGAUGAGAGAAAUAUGUCUUAGUUUCUCUCGGUCUUGCUCUUAAGGUCUGGUUGAUAUGAAGAGAAGUAAAGUGUACUCCUUCACUCGGCUGAUCACUCAAUCUUCUUCACUCGGUGUUGCAGGCUGCUCAAGUUUGCUAUCACAACUCCUCACUCGACCUCCCUUUUGUUUUCGUUCGUAUAGAUAGCUAAUGGUGAAGCUUCACUUUCUUUUCCCUCACACUCCGUUU
rnacentral:lncRNA from 1 species